AUGAACGCUGGCGGCGUGCCUAAUACAUGCAAGUCGAGCGAACAGACGAGGAGCUUGCUUCUCUGACGUUAGCGGCGGACGGGUGAGUAACACGUGGAUAACCUACCUAUAAGACUGGGAUAACUUCGGGAAACCGGAGCUAAUACCGGAUAAUAUAUUGAACCACAUGGUUCAAUAGUGAAAGACGGUUUUGCUGUCACUUAUAGAUGGAUCCGCGCCGCAUUAGCUAGUUGGUAAGGUAACGGCUUACCAAGGCAACGAUGCGUAGCCGACCUGAGAGGGUGAUCGGCCACACUGGAACUGAGACACGGUCCAGACUCCUACGGGAGGCAGCAGUAGGGAAUCUUCCGCAAUGGGCGAAAGCCUGACGGAGCAACGCCGCGUGAGUGAUGAAGGUCUUCGGAUCGUAAAACUCUGUUAUUAGGGAAGAACAAAUGUGUAAGUAACUAUGCACGUCUUGACGGUACCUAAUCAGAAAGCCACGGCUAACUACGUG
rnacentral:rRNA from 1 species